GCCCAGAUGCAACUUAUAAUGUAAAUCAAUGUCCAGAUGCAACUUAUGAUGUCAAUCCAUGUCCAGAUGCAACUUAUGAUGUCAAUCAAUGUCCAGAUGCAACUUAUGAUGUAAAUCCAUGUCCAGAUGCAACUUAUGAUAUUAAUCCAUGUCCAGAUGCAACUUAUGAUGUAAAUCCAUAUGCAGAUGCAACUUAUGAUGUUAAUUCAUGUCCAGACGCAACCUAUGAUGUAAAUCAAUACCACGAUGCAACCUAUAAUGUAGAUAGCACCGCUUAAGGUUUAUGAGAACAAAGUGGGAAUCAGCAAAAGAAGACGGCAACCACGAAAACGAUGGAAAGACACAGUGCAGCAGAAAUUGGAAAACUGUUGUUAAACAGGCUUAUGUCCUACUUGGACUGUAUAGUCACGAAUGAUGAUGACGACAUUUUAUAAAAUAUUCAAUAUAUA